CUUUCCCUCUUUCUUUAGGCCUAACACAUGCAAGUCGAACGGCAGCACAGUAAGAGCUUGCUCUUACGGGUGGCGAGUGGCGGACGGGUGAGGAAUACAUCGGAAUCUACUUUUUCGUGGGGGAUAACGUAGGGAAACUUACGCUAAUACCGCAUACGACCUACGGGUGAAAGCAGGGGAUCUUCGGACCUUGCGCGAUUGAAUGAGCCGAUGUCGGAUUAGCUAGUUGGCGGGGUAAAGGCCCACCAAGGCGACGAUCCGUAGCUGGUCUGAGAGGAUGAUCAGCCACACUGGAACUGAGACGCGGUCCAGACUCCUACGGGAGGCAGCAGUGGGGAAUAUUGGACAAUGGGCGCAAGCCUGAUCCAGCCAUACCGCGUGGGUGAAGAAGGCCUUCGGGUUGUAAAGCCCUUUUGUUGGGAAAGAAAAGCAGCAGGUUAAUACCCCGCUGUUCUGACGGUACCCAAAGAAUAAGCACCGGCUAACUUCGUG
rnacentral:rRNA from 1 species